rnacentral:rRNA from 1 species
UACAGAGGGUGCAAGCGUUGUUCGGAAUUAUUGGGCGUAAAGGGCGCGUAGGCGGUGCUGUAAGUCUGUAGUGAAAUCUCUGGGCUCAACUCAGAGUCUGCUAUAGAAACUGCAGUGCUAGAGUGUGGGAGAGGUGAGUGGAAUUCCCGGUGUAGCGGUGAAAUGCGUAGAGAUGCGGAGGAACACCGAUGGCGAAGGCAGCCCCCUGGGCUGACACUGACGCUCAGGCACGAAAGCGUGGGGAGCAAACAGG